AGAGUUUGAUCAUGGCUCAGAACGAACGCUGGCGGCGUGGAUCAGACAUGCAAGUCGAACGGGGUUAAUUUGGUAGCAAUACUAGGUUAACCUAGUGGCGAACGGGUGCGUAACACGUGACCAACCUGCCUAGAAGUGGGGGAUAGCUCGGCGAAAGCCGGAUUAAUACCGCAUGUGAUCGCAAGAUUAAAGCAGCAAUGCGCUUUUAGAGGGGGUCGCGGCCUAUCAGCUAGUUGGUGAGGUAACGGCUUACCAAGGCAGCGACGGGUAGCUGGUCUGAGAGGACGACCAGCCACACUGGAACUGAGACACGGUCCAGACACCUACGGGUGGCAGCAGUCGAGAAUUUUUCUCAAUGGGGGAAACCCUGAAGGAGCGACGCCGCGUGGAGGAUGAAGGCUUUCGGGUUGUAAACUCCUGUCAUCUGGGAACAAAACUCGCAAGAGCUUGAUAGUACCAGAAGAGGAAGAGACGGCUAACUCUGUGCCAGCAGCCGCGGUAAUACAGAGGUCUCAAGCGUUGUUCGGAUUCAUUGGGCGUAAAGGGCGCGUAGGCGGCGGGGUAAGUCUGGUGUGAAAUCUCGGAGCUCAACUUCGAAAAUGCACUGGAUACUGCUCUGCUAGAGGAUUGGAGAGGAGAUCGGAAUUCACGGUGUAGCAGUGAAAUGCGUAGAUACCGUGAGGAAGACCAGUGGCGAAGGCGGAUCUCUGGACAAUUCCUGACGCUGAGGCGCGAAGGCUAGGGGAGCAAACGGGAUUAGAUACCCCGGUAGUCCUAGCAGUAAACGGUGCACGUUUGGUGUGCGCGGAUUCGACCCCGUGCGUGCCGGAGCUAACGCGUUAAACGUGCCGCCUGAGGAGUACGGUCGCAAGAUUAAAACUCAAAGAAAUUGACGGGGCCCGCACAG
rnacentral:rRNA from 1 species